rnacentral:rRNA from 1 species
CGAGCGGGGUGAUGGUGCUUGCACUAUCACUUAGCGGCGGACGGGUGAGUAAUGCUUAGGAAUCUGCCUAUUAGUGGGGGACAACAUUUCGAAAGGAAUGCUAAUACCGCAUACGUCCUACGGGAGAAAGCAGGGGAUCUUCGGACCUUGCGCUAAUAGAUGAGCCUAAGUCGGAUUAGCUAGUUGGUGGGGUAAAGGCCUACCAAGGCGACGAUCUGUAGCGGGUCUGAGAGGAUGAUCCGCCACACUGGGACUGAGACACGGCCCAGACUCCUACGGGAGGCAGCAGUGGGGAAUAUUGGACAAUGGGCGCAAGCCUGAUCCAGCCAUGCCGCGUGUGUGAAGAAGGCCUUAUGGUUGUAAAGCACUUUAAGCGAGGAGGAGGCUACUUUAGUUAAUACCUAGAGAUAGUGGACGUUACUCGCAGAAUAAGCACCGGCUAACUCUGUGCCAGCAGCCGCGGUAAUACAGAGGGUGCAAGCGUUAAUCGGAUUUACUGGGCGUAAAGCGCGCGUAGGCGGCUAAUUAAGUCAAAUGUGAAAUCCCCGAGCUUAACUUGGGAAUUGCAUUCGAUACUGGUUAGCUAGAGUGUGGGAGAGGAUGGUAGAAUUCCAGGUGUAGCGGUGAAAUGCGUAGAGAUCUGGAGGAAUACCGAUGGCGAAGGCAGCCAUCUGGCCUAACACUGACGCUGAGGUGCGAAAGCAUGGGGAGCAAACAGGAUUAGAUACCCUGGUAGUCCAUGCCGUAAACGAUGUCUACUAGCCGUUGG